CAGAAGAUAGUUUAGUAAAAAUACUAGUUUUGGGGAUUAGUGAUGAUGGAUUUAACCUUCUCUUCUGA
rnacentral:tRNA from 1 species